GACGAACGCUGGCGGCGUGCUUAACACAUGCAAGUCGAACGGAAAGGCCGUGCUUGUGUGGGGUGACCGAGGGGGGAAGGGGGGAGUAACAGGUGUGCAACGGGAUCUUGACUUUGGGAUAACUUAAGGAAACUGGGGCUAAUAUAGGAUAGGAGAUCAUGUUGCGUGGUGGGGGUUGGAAAGUUUCGGCGGUUGGGGAUGGACUCGCGGCUUAUCAGCUUGCUGGUGGGGUAGUGGCUGACCAAGGAUUUGACGGGUAGGCGGCCUGAGAGGGUGACCGGCCACAAUGGGACUGAGGUACGGCGCAGAGUCCUACGGGAGACAGCAGUCGGGAGUAUGGCACAGUGGGCCGGAGCCGGAUGCAACGACGUCGCGUGCGGGAUGACGGCCUUCGGGGUGUGAACCGCAGUCGCCUGUGACGAAGCGUUAGUGACGGUACUGGGUAAAGAAGCACCGGCUAACUACGUG
rnacentral:rRNA from 1 species